UACAGAGGGUGCAAGCGUUGUUCGGAAUCAUUGGGCGUAAAGGGCGCGUAGGCGGUUUUGUAAGUCGAAUGUGAAAGCCCAGGGCUCAACCUUGGAAGUGCAUCCGAAACUGCGAAACUUGAAUCCUGGAGAGGGUGGUAGAAUUCCCAGUGUAGAGGUGAAAUUCGUAGAUAUUGGGAGGAAUACCGGUGGCGAAGGCGACCGCCUGGACAGAAGAUUGACGCUGAGGCGCGAGAGCGUGGGGAGCAAACGAGGAUUAGAUGACCC
rnacentral:rRNA from 1 species